rnacentral:lncRNA from 10 species
CUCAAAUUCUCGUGCAAAUGAUUUAUUGAGAAAGUGCUCCUGGAGAAACAAGCAAAGUAGGGAGCUGGAAAAGAACAGAGAGUGGGGAAGUAGCCAAGCAAGGACUAUGGAGGGUUCCUUCAGCCUCUCAGGCAAGGGGACCUCUGAAGUGUAUGUUACACAUCAGAAGUGUCCCUUUGCAAUACAGUACAGAGGCACUGAGCUUUCAUCUGGACUCACAGGGGCUCUGCUAAAAGUGAAAGGAAAU